AGUGAACGCUGGCGGUAGGCCUAACACAUGCAAGUCGAACGGCAGCACAGUAAGAGCUUGCUCUUACGGGUGGCGAGUGGCGGACGGGUGAGGAAUACAUCGGAAUCUACUUUUUCGUGGGGGAUAACGUAGGGAAACUUACGCUAAUACCGCAUACGACCUACGGGUGAAAGCAGGGGAUCUUCGGACCUUGCGCGAUUGAAUGAGCCGAUGUCGGAUUAGCUAGUUGGCGGGGUAAAGGCCCACCAAGGCGACGAUCCGUAGCUGGUCUGAGAGGAUGAUCAGCCACACUGGAACUGAGACACGGUCCAGCCUCCUACGGGAGGCAGCAGUGGGGAAUAUUGGACAAUGGGCGCAAGCCUGAUCCAGCCAUACCGCGUGGGUGAAGAAGGCCUUCGGGUUGUAAAGCCCUUUUGUUGGGAAAGAAAAGCAGCAGGUUAAUACCCCGCUGUUCUGACGGUACCCAAAGAAUAAGCACCGGCUAACUUCGUG
rnacentral:rRNA from 1 species